AUAUUGCUAGACUGGGUGGCUCAUCCUCACCUGUUACCGCAAAUGGAUGUUGGCGGGGUUGAAGCCUGAGGGGCGGCGUUGCUUGAGCCAGAAGUCUUGGUUGGACCGUCGAUGCCUUGUCCUCUAGGAUCAUGAUUUUUAUGAACUGAGUCAGAUCAGGAAUGAAGCAGCUCUAAAUAUUAAUCAUGGUGCUUAGAGGGUCGCAGGGCUGAGGAAAAAUCAAGGUCGCUUUUGACUUUAGUUUACGUCCACCUUCAGGCACGCACUUAU
rnacentral:SRP_RNA from 1 species